rnacentral:rRNA from 1 species
CGGACGGGUGAGUAAUGCUUGGGAAUCUAGCUUAUGGAGGGGGAUAACUACGGGAAACUGUAGCUAAUACCGCGUAAUAUCGAAAGAUUAAAGUGUGGGACCCUCGGGCCACAUGCCAUAGGAUGAGCCCAAGUGGGAUUAGGUAGUUGGUGAGGUAAAGGCUCACCAAGCCGACGAUCUCUAGCUGGUCUGAGAGGAUGACCAGCCACACUGGGACUGAGACACGGCCCAG